rnacentral:rRNA from 1 species
UACGUAGGUGGCAAGCGUUGUUCGGAUUUAUUGGGCGUAAAGGGCAUGUAGGCGGUUAUAUAAGUGUGAAUUGAAAGGCGCAGGCUUAACCUGUUGUUUGGUUUGCAAACUGUAUGACUAGAGUGUAGAAUGGGAAACUGGAAUUCCGCGUGUAGGGGUGAAAUCUGUAGAUAUGCGGAAGAAUACUUGUGGCGAAGGCGAGUUUCUGGUCUAUAACUGACGCUAAAAUGCGAAAGUGUGGGGAGCAAACAGG